rnacentral:rRNA from 1 species
CAGUCUCAGUUCAGAUUGUAGGCUGAAACUCGCCUAUAUGAAGUCGGAAUUGCUAGUAAUCGCAGAUCAGCAUGCUGCGGUGAAUACGUUCCCGGGCCUUGUACACACCGCCCGUCACACCAUGAGAGUCGAUAACACCCGAAGCCUGUAGUCUAACCAUAAGGAGGACGCAGUCGAAGGUGGGAUUGAUAAUUAGGGUGAAGUCGUAACAAGGUAAC